CUCCUCUGCCUCGCACGCCGCCACCGCUCGCCCUCGCGCCGCUGCCGCCUCCGCUUGCCCUCGUGCUGCUGCCGCCUCCACUUGCCCUCGCGCCGCCUCUUUGCUCCCGACUUCCCUAACCCUAGCCCCUUUCUACGCCACCGCCGCCGCCCGUUCCCUCUCCCUCCCCUGCCGUCGCGUCACCGCCUUCGCCGACUCGCCCUCCCCUCCUUCUCCCCCUGCAUAGCAGCAGGUCGAGGUGGUCGUGGCCGACCGCGCGCUCGCCGGUGCUGCCCGUGAGUGAUCCAUCGGCGACUUCCACCUUCUCCCUCUCCCUCCCCCUACCGCCGGCCUCUCCCUUGGUGGCGGCCAGAUCUACCAUGGCUACGGCCACAGACACGGACGGGGCUUCUGGAUCCGCGCCGCCGUCGAGCUGGGUCCCGACGGUCGCCUCCUUCUCCACAACCGGCGCCACACCCUUCGGUGGAUCGAUCCGGCACCAGGAACCGUGAACACCUGGCCCUUCUACCCCGCCGCCGGCGCCACUUCCUCGUGAGAUCCCGACCAUGGUCCGUUGUGGAUGUUGUUUGUUCUGUUUGUCGAGGCUUCGGUCAGCCCGCUGUCUGCUGCCGUGUCGAGAGGUUGCAAGGUUCCUGGUUGCGCGGAAAUGAUCCAUGAUCUGGUGGCGGGAAGCGGCUCCAUAUUGGUGAUUGGACCUCCUGGUGUAGGCAAGACUACUCUGAUCAGGUUGUUUGAUUGAUGCAUUCGUGCUCGUUGGCCGGGCGGUGCAAGGCGCAACUCCGACGCGGUUCCUCGCCGGUUGGCCGGCGUUCAGGCGCAACCCCGGCGCGCACUGAGUACUGCCUCGGCUACAACCUGCCUCGGUGAGGUCCAUCUUCCUCAUGCUCCUCUACUUCGGCUACUGUAUGGGACAUGGCCAUGGCUAUAUUGAUGUGCUGCUCGUCUGGUUGAUGCUCUAUGCCCUACUCAUGCAUUGGUUCCUACUUGAGCUCUAUAGUUGUGGAUCCAUGCCAUUUUAUGGUUUCCAGGCUGCUGUUCAUGUUUAGUUGCUAUCAUAGGAGCUCAUGUGAUGCUCUGGUUUACAUGUGGAUGCCCUGGUCCUAUAGCUAUGCUCCUGGAUUUGCUAGAUUGAUGAGUGGCGUUCGUGCUAGGGCGAUGAUGAUUAAUCGUGGCUGAAAUAAGUGUGCCUUUGAGCAAUCGUGGCACCUGUGUGUAACAGAUUGAUCUGGUGACAAGAGAUGACGGGGGUAGGUUAUAUGAUCGAGGAAAGGUGAAUCUGAGCCCACUAUGCAAUGAACCCUGAAUCCUCAGAGCUCAAGAAACGGAGGGAGCACCGGACGCUCUCAGAGUUUAGCAUCCCCUUGUUAGAGUCUGAAACAAAAUGAAGCUCCCACGUUCGUUUGGAUUUUGGACCGUUGGAUCGAGCUCCCUGACGCGUAAUGGUCGUCGGAUCGCGGGUUCGGCUCACGUGAGACGUCCGAUUUUACCAGAUCGUCGUGAGCCGUUAGAUAAAAUUCGCACGACUGUAGGCUUGCCACCGCGUGUAAAACUAGAUGGCUGCGGAGGGCAUUUUCAUCAUUUCCCAUGGUUGAAAAAAUAUCCAAUCGCCACAUGGGUGUGACCUAGCCGUCGCUCCUCGACAUUCGCUCGUCCCACCUCCUCCUCUCCCUCUCUCGAUCUCCUCUGCCUCGCACGCCGCCACCGCUCGCCCUUGCGCCGCUGCCGCCUCCGCUUGCCCUCGCACCGCCUCUUUGAUCCCGACUUCGCUAACCCUAGCCCCUUUCUACGCCGCCGUAGGUUAUAUGAUGUUGCUUAUUUAUUCUCAAGUGGUGUUCAUGCUUGGGCAAUGAUGAUUACCUUGGCUGGAAAUAGUGUGCCUUUGAGCAAUCGAGGCACCUGUGGGUAUCAAGUUGGAUCCUCCCUCUUGUCUCUAGAAUCCAUUUUGAUCCUGUGAUACUUGUUGUUGUCUUUGGAUGGUCAUUCUUGUUGUGUGAUAACCAGGGCAGCUCCACUGUAUAAACAGAUUGAUCUGGUGACAAGAGAUGAUGGGGGUAGGUUAUAUGAUCGAGGAAAGGGGAAUCUAAGCCCACUAUGCAUUGAACCCUGAUCAUUUUUAUUUGUAUUUAAAGUUGUUACAUAUUUUGUGUUACUGUCUUGGCGCAAGGGUGUCGGGUCCCAACAUUUUACUGUCCAGGGUUUAGCUUGUAGUGUCGUUUUUGAAAGACAGUAACACAAGAAGGUCUUAUCCGACUCCAUAAUUUUACUGUAUGAGACAGCCGGUAUAAUUUUCAGUUUGUAGAGCUCUGUGGUUCCCUGUUUUUCUGUUGUUCUAUUUUUCUAUUGCUGCUCAGAUCCAUGUUGUCUUGAAUUGUAAAGUACAACUACAAGUUCAAACCUGGACAUUUUUAGAGCCUGAACAUUUUCAGUUAGUGGCUCAAAACUGCUCCACUAGAGUAGACAUUUAACUUAAUCAAUUUACCAUCUAGACAAAUACUCCUAUUAAUUCCAUCUGAGGAGUAGACAUUUAACAUAAGGUAGCCCCAUUUUAAUUUAAAUGUAGUCUAUUUUUGUUGCAAUAGCCCAUUAGAGUGACUUAUCGUUCAUGAGCGGAUCCUUGUUUUAAUGUGUUUGAUUCGAGGCGCCACCUCCCUAUGGCCACGGCGCCUUCUCCCGGGCUCUCUCGGAGGUGAACUAUAGCGACAUCUUGUGCGUGGUGGUCAAGCACGAUAGCGCUGAUGGGUGUUGUCUCCGUCGACUGGAGAAGCGCAGGUCGCGGCUCACGCCGCUACUCUACUGGGGUCAUCAGCCUUUGUACUCGUGUUGUGCGUGCACCCAGUGAACCAACAGAGUCGUGGAUGCUGUGAGCGUUGGGUGCUGUGUCCCUCGGCUGAGCGGCAAGCCAGAGCUGCAAGUUGUUGAACAUGGGGUGCUAUUGUGAUAUCUCAUGCCUCACGCUCUAUUUGUGGAUUGUUGUUAAGGAAGUAUCUAUUCAGGCCUGUUCAGGGGAUAUUGCAUGAUCAAGAUCACUUUGUUCACUACUGAUUUCAUAAGGCCUAACAUUGGGCUAGAUUUCCUGUUCUGUAUGAUUUAACUCCGUUGGCUCUGCUCCCUUGCCCAACUGAUAUGCCUGAAAAGUUCACAGAGGUUGUUCAGUACCAUAGUGCAAGCAGGGCUGAACCAUCGACUAAGAGGCUCAUAUAUGUCAAGAACCUCACAUAUGCAAGCAAACCAGUGUGGUGCUCUGGGAUCAGAUUGCCUUGGCAUUUGCUGCCGAUGAAGUUAUUGAGCUGGGCAAGAAAGAACUGGUGGUUGCUACGUUUGUUGUGACGCUGUUCAAGAAAUAUGAAGUUUUGAGAUUGGCCUUGAUAGCUGGUUAUCAUUGUACAAGACAUCUUAGCAUUAUGGCAGAACAAUUAUUAUGCGUCUAUCAAUGAUAACAAUGAUACCUGAUUGAAGAUUAGGUGGUCUACAAUCCUCAGGUUCUCCAAAACUAUAUCUCAAGCCUAUCAACUCUGAAAAUUAAAGGUCGCCACCAUGCUGUCUCUCUCUGGCCGCCCCUCACGUCGUCUUGGUUUGUUGGUUGCCGCUAUGUCUCCUGCCGGUUCGCCCGCCGCUAUCGCUCGAAGGGUUGUAUAGGCCGUCGCUUAUG